rnacentral:rRNA from 1 species
GACGAACGCUGGCGGCAUGCCUAAUACACGCAAGUCGAGCGAACAGAUGAAGUGCUUGCACUUCUGACGUUAGCGGCGAACGGGUGAGUAACACGUAAGGAAUCUACCUAUAAGCGGGGGAUAACAUUCGGAAACGGGUGCUAAUACCGCAUAAUAUCUUCUUCCGCAUGGAAGAAGAUUGAAAGACGGCUCUGCUGUCACUUAUAGAUGACCUUGCGGUGCAUUAGUUAGUUGGUGGGGUAAUGGCCUACCAAGACAAUGAUGCAUAGCCGACCUGAGAGGGUGAUCGGCCACAUUGGGACUGCGACACGGCCCAAACUCCUACGGGAGGCAGCAGUAGGGAAUCUUCCGCAAUGGGCGAAAGCCUGAAGGAGCAAUGCCGCGUGAGUGAAGAAGGCCUUCGGGUCGUAAAACUCUGUUAUAAGAGAAGAACAAAUUGUAGAGUGACUGCUACAGUCUUGACGGUAUCUUAUCAGAAAGCCACGGCUAACUACGUGCCAGCAGCCGCGGUAA